rnacentral:tRNA from 1 species
AUUUAUAUAGUUUAUAAUAAAACGGUAUAUUUUCAUUAUACAGAAAAUGUUUUAAUAUUUAUAAAUA